rnacentral:misc_RNA from 1 species
GUCGCCCAAUGUAUCUCCUCGGCACUGGUAUCCAGUUCUAAUAAAUUCAUCAGUACCAGAGGAGAAAUUAAUCAAUUUUUGUUUUUAGAUUUGAAGCAAAUAUUUAAAUAUAAACAAGAAAGUGUAAUGAAGAAAUUGAAUAAAAUGUGUUAAAGAAGCUUAGAAAAAGAACUGGGUGAUGAUAAGGAUGUGGAAACGUGGUAUUUCAGCUGUUCUCAAUUUUUGUUUUAUUCUUCAGCUGAUUCUUCUAGGCUUCCUCAUCAACGAUGCGUACGCUCAGAGAAGUCUGGAAUUUUAUGAUCUUCUUCCUGAAGACCCUAAACUCUAUGAUAAGAUGAGACCACCAAAGAAAGAUGGACAAGCUACUGUUGUGUAUUUUCAUGUCACAGUUAUGGGUCUUGAUUCUAUUGACGAAACGUCAAUGACAUAUGCAGCAGAUAUUUUUUUCGCUCAAACGUGGAAGGAUAAUAGACUUCGACUUCCUGAAAAUAUGACUUCUGAAUACAGAUUGUUAGAAGUAGAUUGGCUAAAAAAUAUGUGGAGACCAGAUUCGUUUUUCAAAAAUGCUAAAUCAGUGACUUUUCAAACGAUGACGAUACCAAAUCACUAUCUUUGGCUUUACAAAGACAAAACCAUCCUUUACAUGGUCAAGCUGACAUUGAAACUAUCAUGUGCUAUGAAUUUCCUAAUCUACCCUCACGACACUCAGGAAUGUAAACUACAGAUGGAAAGCCUUUCGCACACGACGGAUGAAAUGAUAUUCCAAUGGGAUCCAGAUGUACCUCUUGUUGUUGAUGAGAACAUUGAGUUACCACAAUUGCAGCUUGUUAAGAAUUAUACUGCUGAUUGUACUCAAGUUUACUCUACAGGUAAUUUCACAUGCCUGGAGGUGAUUUUCGUACUCAAACGACGUCUUGGUUAUUAUCUUUUCCACACUUAUGUUCCUACAUGUUUAAUUGUCAUCAUGUCUUGGGUAUCAUUUUGGAUCAAACCAGAAGCAGCACCAGCACGAGUGACUUUGGGAGUCACAUCUUUACUGACUUUAUCAACGCAGCAUGCAAAAAGCCAGGCAUCAUUACCUCCAGUGUCAUAUCUAAAAGCAGUGGAUGCUUUCAUGUCGGUUUGUACAAUUUUUGUGUUCAUGGCUUUGAUGGAAUACUGUCUAGUCAACAUUGUUUUGGGUGACUCUGAUGCUCCUGCACCCAAACCACCACCUCCACCACCAGCUACGACUUCCACUGGUCCUGGGGAUUCAACUAAACUUGAUAAGAUUUUUGAUAUUGCUUCCAAGGAGAAUGCAAUGUUGCUAUCGGGUCGUUCGCAGAAAUCUGCAAAUCUACCUCCACCAGGUCCUACGCCUGCUCAACGAGCAAGACUUCGAGCUCUCAACAUCGAUCGAACCUCACGAGUGUUCUUUCCGUUUCUUUUUGCAGUACUCAAUGUAACAUACUGGAUAAUGUUUGCUGAAUAUAUCUAAAAAAGGCGAGGCACUACCAACGUCUUCAAUAGUCUCGCCAUUGCCGUCCGAACUCCUUUGACGUUUACCUUACUGUUAACGUUGCUAUCUACGCUUAUUUUAUUCUUUUAAAUUAAAUAUGUUAAUUAGAAAUGCGAUCAGCUUUAUCAGUUGUUGGACAAUUUUCUAGUAUUCUCCAUCUACAUUUUCAUCUGCUUCAUACCAAACUUGAGCUUCUGCUUUCUCUUAUCUUCUUUCUUUUUAUAUUAUAAUAAAUAAUAAAAUAAAUUCAUGUGAAAAAUAAGAUAAAAUUUAAGAAAUUAAUAUUAA